GGGCAGUUACCAGAGUGGCCAAAUGGGGCAGACUGUAAAUCUGCUAGCUUACGCUUACGGUGGUUCGAAUCCAUCACUGCCCACCC
rnacentral:tRNA from 1 species